rnacentral:rRNA from 1 species
UACGGGGGGAGCAAGCGUUGUUCGGAUUUACUGGGCGUAAAGGGCGCGUAGGCGGUCAGCACAAGUCAGUUGUGAAAUCUCCGGGCUUAACUCGGAAAGGUCAACUGAUACUGUGCGACUAGAGUGCAGAAGGGGCAACUGGAAUUCUCGGUGUAGCGGUGAAAUGCGUAGAUAUCUGGAGGAAUACCGGUGGCGAAGGCGGCAUCCUGGACCGGCAUUGACGCUGAGGAGCGAAAGCCAGGGGAGCAAACGGG